rnacentral:rRNA from 1 species
UACGAAGGGGGCUAGCGUUGUUCGGAAUUACUGGGCGUAAAGCGCACGUAGGCGGACUACUAAGUCAGGGGUGAAAUCCCGGGGCUCAACCCCGGAACUGCCUUUGAUACUGAUAGUCUCGAGUCCGGAAGAGGUGAGUGGAAUUUCGAGUGUAGAGGUGAAAUUCGUAGAUAUUCGGAGGAACACCAGUGGCGAAGGCGGCUCACUGGUCCGGUACUGACGCUGAGGUGCGAAAGCGUGGGGAGCAAACAGG